rnacentral:rRNA from 1 species
UACGUAGGGUGCGAGCGUUAAUCGGAAUUAUUGGGCGUAAAGAGCUCGUAGGCGGUUCAGUAAGUCGGGUGUGAAAACUUUGGGCUUAACCCAAAGCGUGCAUCCGAUACUGCUGUGACUUGAGUUCGGUAGGGGAGUGGGGAAUUCCUAGUGUAGCGGUGAAAUGCGCAGAUAUUAGGAGGAACACCGGUGGCGAAGGCGCCACUCUGGGCCGAAACUGACGCUGAGGAGCGAAAGCAUGGGUAGCAAACAGG